CAGACCGGUAAGGAUGGAAAGGUGAGGUAAGAGCUCACCAGCGGCUAGGUGACUAGGCCGGCUAGGUAAACCCCACCUGGAGCAAGACCAAAUAGGGGAACAAUGGAGUUGCCCGCUCCGUUCCCGGGUAAGGUCGCUUGAGUCGUCAGGCAACUGACGACCUAGAUAGAUAAUCACCCGCGACAGAACUCGGCUUAUCGAUUUGCUCAAAAA
rnacentral:RNase_P_RNA from 1 species